UGUCGUGAGAUGUUGGGUUAAGUCCCGCAACGAGCGCAACCCUCGUCCUUAGUUGCCAUCAUUAAGUUGGGCACUUUAAGGAAACUGCCGGUGAUAAGCCGGGGAAGGUGGGGAUGACGUCAAGUCCUCAUGGCCCUUACAGGCUGGGCUACACACGUGCUACAAUGGCAUCUACAGUGGGCAGCUAUUCCGCAAGGAUGCGCUAAUCUCCAAAAGAUGUCUCAGUUCGGAUUGUCCUCUGCAACUCGAGGGCAUGAAGGCGGAAUCGCUAGUAAUCGCGGAUCAGCAUGCCGCGGUGAAUACGUUCCCAGGCCUU
rnacentral:rRNA from 1 species